rnacentral:rRNA from 1 species
UACGUAGGGUGCAAGCGUUGUCCGGAAUUAUUGGGCGUAAAGAGCUCGUAGGCGGUUUGUUGCGUCGGCUGUGAAAUCCCGAGGCUCAACCUCGGGUCUGCAGUCGAUACGAGCAAACUAGAGUGUUGCAGGGGAGACUGGAAUUCCUGGUGUAGCGGUGAAAUGCGCAGAUAGUCGGAAGGAACUCCGGCGGCGAAAGCGAUGCACUGGCUGGUUUCUGACGGCUGAGGUGCGAAAGCCCAGGGGAGCAAACGGG